rnacentral:rRNA from 1 species
CCCUUAGAUGUUCUGGGCCGCACGCGCGCUACACUGAUUCAUGCAACGAGUUUUGUCCUUGGCUGAAAGGCCUGGGUAAUCUUUGAACGUGAAUCGUGCCGGGGAUAGAUGAUUGCAAUUAUUCAUCUUCAACGAGGAAUUCCUAGUAAACGCAAGUCAUCAGCUUGCAUUGAUUACGUCCCUGCCCUUUGUACACACCGCCCGUCGCACCUACCGAUUGAAUGGUCCGGUGAAAUCUUCGGAUCUGAGAGAUGUUGGAUUAAUUUCUGACGCCUUUUGGAAAAGUCGCUUAAACCUUAUCAUUUAGAGGAAGGUGAAGUCGUAACA